rnacentral:rRNA from 1 species
UACAGAGGUCUCAAGCGUUGUUCGGAUUCAUUGGGCGUAAAGGGUGCGUAGGUGGCGCCGUAAGUCAGGUGUGAAAUUUCGGAGCUUAACUCCGAAACUGCAUUUGAUACUGCGGUGCUUGAGGACUGGAGAGGAGACUGGAAUUUACGGUGUAGCAGUGAAAUGCGUAGAGAUCGUAAGGAAGACCAGUGGCGAAGGCGGGUCUCUGGACAGUUCCUGACACUGAGGCACGGAAGGCCAGGGGGAGCAAAACGGG